CAAUUCAUAGCAUUCCUCCCAAGAACAAGGAUGUGUUAAAUAAAAUGGAACUACAUGAUCAAAAUGCUGAUUUCUGCUGGUUUCUAAAGUUUCAAGUUCUACAGGACAAGGAAACCAUCACAUUGAAGAAACCGACGCUCAGGGUAUGACAUAAGCUACGCCUGUACUUUCUAAAGGUGAGCUAACAGUGUGUGAAAUCCUGGCUACAAAUACAGAUUUGGUGACCAGACAGUAACUGCGUUCUACCCAUAAGAAUACAGCCCCAACUACGUGUACCAAAUGACGUAAAAUUUUGUUGCAUUUUGACCGAUUCUGAAAGAUCUGACGAUCUUUGAAGGAUGUUUUGACGUUUAUUUGGAAGAGGUGAUUGAAAAGGUGAAAGAAUUAGGGUAAAUACACUUUUUGGAGUGAAAUUUUAUAUCACAUGCCGAACCCAGCUGUACCAAUGGACAGCGUCCCAGUCUGACUUACCUGGUGAGGCCAAGGGAAGACAGAAUCAAUACCAUCAGCAGCAGGAAUAUACCGUGCCCUUCCCCUGCUGUACCACUGGACAGCGUGCCAGUCUGACUUACCUGGUGAGGCCAAGGGAAGGCAGAAUCAAUACCAUCAGCAGCAGGAAUAUACCGUACCCUUCCCUAGCUGUACCACUGGACAGCGUGCCAGUCUGACUUACCUGGUGAGGUCAAAGGAAGGCAGAAUCAAUACCAUCAGCAGCAGGAAUAUACCGUACCCUUCCCUAGCUGUACCAAUGGACAGCGU